GGACACCUGGGGCGUGGAGCCGGGGCACGGGGCAGCUGUCCCUCUGCAGCCACACACCACAGGGGAUGGGCGCCGGCAGACACGCCUGCUCGCUCCAGGGUAAGUGCAGUGUGUGGCGUCUGGGGUGGCUCUGGUGUUAAGGAGGUCAGAAGUGAAGUGUUUUCACGCAGGCUGGAUUCGAUGCGAUUGGGCCAUCCGGAUUGACGAUGGUGACGAUCGCGAUGCCUUCAGGCUCGCAACCGAGGGGGUGCACGCAGGGGAACGUGCCAUCCGGGAACAUCUUUCAGGCAAAACAAAGCAUUUUGCUUUCCAGUUGAUGAUAGGGAGUGCUGAACCCAAUGCCAAGAGCUCAAAGGCGAAUUCGUUUGGUGGGAAGAGUCCGCCUGCAUCUUUGAUCUGAUGUGGUUAGGGGCGUCCUCCCCAAUUAAUGAUUUCUAUUAGCUGCUGGCUUUGUCUUCUCUCCUUUUUGUGGCACGCUCCAGGUGACCGGCUUAUCUCUCAGCGCCCGGGUUGGGAUAUGCUGUGGACAGACUCAAUUAGCUAAACAUGUUGUUAAACGUGCAUCUCAUUACGCUUUUUUUUUUUUUUGAGAAAAGAAAAACAAAGUGUGGAGGCAGAAGGGCUGGGUGCCCCGGCCACCCAGGGGCAGGACGAGUUUGGGGCUUGCAAGUCCACAGCGAAUCUGAGGCAGGCACCGUCAAUAACAAAGUGCCUUUACGAUAUUUAUAAGAACUAGGCUCUCCUCAAUCCUUUCAUUUGAACACGUUUCAGAGCAGACCCCUUCCUGGCACUUCGGUGAGGUGUCUGUUUCCCAUUAUAAAGCUGGGCCAUGAAUGAAAGUGACAAUCGCAGCUUCCAAACAUAAACUUCCUGAAACUCCUUUAGAAGGUUCCUCCAUGACGUGUAGACAUAACCAGAAAGCCGUCACGCUGGGAGGUCGGCCGCGGGUGCGUCUUGGCUCCGUCAGGAUCCUGGUGAGGGUGGCAGGUCAGGAUUGUAAACUCCAGGAGGGGACUUAAGCGACGGAACAGGGAAGAAAAGUGGCUGAGCUUAGCGACAGGCCGGCCUCAGAAGUGACAUUCACCCCCCCACCCCCGCCCCCCGCCCAGUGUCCUUACGCUUUGUGCAGAAAUCUGGCGUGAUCUAAGAUAUUGGUGCAGAAUUCCCAUGUGCUGGUGAUUUAUCACACCUUCCAGUGUCCUGAGCAGGAACGGGACAGAGGGCGUCGGUGGCUUUUUGGAUAAAAACAGGCAGGGCCAUGCCAGGCCAGGCUUGGUGGCUCACGCCUGUAAUCCCAGCACUUUGGGAGGCCAAGGCGGGUGGAUCACCUGAGGUCAGAAGUUCGUAGAGCAGCCUGGCCAACAUGGUGAAACCCCAUCUCUACUAAAAAAA
rnacentral:lncRNA from 1 species